CGUGGUUUAAUCAUGCUGGAAUACAGCAUUGGUGUGAAUCGUUGGAAUGGCAAGGGGCAAACACGGUUUAGAUAAAACGCGGCAAAUACGUAAGGAUUUGUUCUGCCUGAAAGCUCAGUCGCGUUCGUUUACUCAAGAAUAUUUCUCGAAGUUCAAUAGAAAACAUACCUUUAGUAAGGAACACAGACUUUAUGGGAUAGCGUAUCGUUUAUUGUUAGGGUUAUCCUAUUGUUUUUGCACAGUCAAAAAGAGAAAGAGUAGAGAAAUAGAGAAAGACAUUAAAUUAAUUCAAGGGCAAUAGGUUUAAUGGGCUGUGAGUCCAGUAUAAAUCUUGUUUACUUGUCAGAGCAAUCACAAUCCUACUGCAUACCAAAGUACUCAUAAAAAUUAAAAUCUUAUAAUACAUAAGCAUUUUUCUUUUUAAAAAAAAAACCCCAAACACUGCUCGUGUGAAGUUCUUUAUUCUGUUCUACAUUUUAAGAAAGGUAAUGAAAACUAAGUCCUUCCUGAAGUCCCCAGAAAAAGUUGAAUGGGAAACACUCAAAGGAGCAGGGUAGGAAGCAGCAUGCUUUGAAAUGAAUGAUUAAAGCAGCGUUUCUUAACUCUGCGGUUGGCUGGGGAAUUCUGGGAGUUGGAGUUUGCACGUUAAAAGUUGCUGAGAUUUGAGAAACACUGGGUUAAGAUGUUGGACCAGGAUGGGAGACCCAGAUUGUAGUCCAUCCUAAGCAACAGAUCUUUGCUUAGGAGAUCCUGCAAGGCAUUGUACGAGGCGUUUAUCAAUUUAAAAAAGGGGUUUUAGGGUUAUUGUGCUAGCAAAUCUGUGAUUGAAUUUCAUGAAGCUCUUAACCAUGAACUGAAAGCUAGAAAAAUCAGUGAUGCUGGGACUCAAGUCUUUAUUAAAGGCAGAAUGCUUCAUGGUUAUGGAAGCAAGUAAUAACACUACGCUUUCAUAUUUGCAGAUCCCAACCAAUAUAGAUUGUACUGUCCUCCCAAUAGGGCAUGGGUGCCAAAUUCAUUGCGUCAUGUUACCGUUACGUGACAUUUCACAUUUUUUCCCUUCAUGGAGCUGGGGUGGGCGUGGCCUGCAUGAGAUGCAUCCGGCCCAUGGGCCGCCAGUUUAACACCCCUGCAAUAGGGGCAUCUUCCAGACUUGUAUCUUGCUUAACUAGAGACAUGGAAGUGUAGUUGAAGAUCUCAUCCGUAGCAAAGAUCCAAAGCAUUAAUCCAAUAUCCAGCAUAGUAGUGAAUAAAUUGAGGGACUAAAAGGAGACUCAAAUUCAAGUCUACCCUCACGAAUGGUGGUACUGGAUGAUUUUGAGCCUAACCUUUUCACAGGAUUAUUUUUGUGGAUAGAUGUUUGGAACAUGGACAGCUAUAGGUAGGAAGGAAGGAAGGAAGGAAGGAAGGAAGGAAGGAAGGAAGUCUUAGCGCAGAUUCAGAUCAACUAACUCAACCAUUGCAUCCAUUUUGCUUGGAAAGGGUUUGAGAAAAGCAAAGUAAUUAUAAAUGUGGUAUCUAGUCUUUCAACUCUUUAUUCAAUCUCUGUGAAUAAAAGGAUGGCAUCGAACAAUGAUACACCAACUUAUUGUACUUAACUUGUAUUGCUCCCACUGAUUUCUACCUGAACUAUUUAAUACUCCCAGGGGAAUGUGCUGUUAUUAGCAUGAUUUAUGGCAGGGCUUCUCUACUUUACAGUAGCUCACAGGUUGAACAGAUUAUAUUGUUAUUGUAGCUAGUCAUAGUUUCCAGCUGGGCCAGUGUUGCAAA